rnacentral:lncRNA from 1 species
AAGAGGCCCUGGGAGCCAGGAAUGCAGAUGGCUCUUUUCUCCAGUCUUCGCCUGAAAAGAAAAAGCACUACCCGUGACUUAAGAUCCAGCUAAGCUGUCACCUCUUCCCUGAAACACCCCCUCAUCCCCUCGGGUUUGUUCACCAAAGGUCAGAGACCUGAGCAGAGAAGUCAGGAGAAAGAGAUGAGCCCCUCCACAGCUCACACAGACUGUGUGGGUCUGACCCCUCUAUUUCCCGUCCCUUUGGGAAGGAUGGCUGAGCAGCACUGCGACAUACACUUCAAUGUUAUUUUUCUUAGGUACUGGGAAUGGAACCUGGGACUUGACACAUAUGAGAUUCCAAUACUUGGUUACUAUUCCUGUGAUUAAAUACGAUGCUGUGGGUGUAGCUCAGUGUGGAACAUUCGCCAACAUGUACAAGGCUCUGGGGUUUGAGAAGAAAGGAAAAAGGGAGCAAGAAAUUCAAGCUGAGAUGUAGGUGAGUUGGUGGUACUCUGUUGGCCAGAAGGCUAAGUGCCCUGACUGGAGCUUGCAGAGAGAGGCCUCAACCAAAUCUGUCCACGCCACUCAUCUGCCUUGUUUCAGCUACAGGCUGACCCCUGUAGUGGGGGAUGCAGUGGAGGAAGAUGGGUCUGACUGUUAUCAGAAUGUGGUGAAGACGGGGUAGUAGUGUACCCCAAUUGGGUAGAGAAGGACAAACUUAUCAAAACACAAGAAAAACACUGACGUGCUAAGAAGAGAUGCCACUGGAUUUAAAAUGAAGCGUCACAGAAAGUCUUGUGUGCAGGAACAGUGUCAUUGAAGGACUAGCAGAAGAUCUAACUGCAAGCUAGACAGUGGUGAACAGGACUCCAGAGGGAUAACCAAAGGUAAAUGAAACAUUGGCCUCACACUGAAGCAUAAACCAGGCCA